rnacentral:rRNA from 1 species
UGCGUAGGGGGCAAGCGUUGUCCGGAAUCAUUGGGCGUAAAGCGCGCGUAGGCGGCCCUGUAAGUCCGCUGUAAAAGUCAAAGGCUCAACCUUUGAAAGCCGGUGGAUACUGCAGGGCUAGAGUCCGGAAGAGGCGAGUGGAAUUCCUGGUGUAGCGGUGGAAUGCGCAGAUAUCAGGAGGAACACCAAUAGCGAAGGCAGCUCGCUGGGACGGUACUGACGCUAAGGCGCGAAAGCGUGGGGAGCGAACAGG